rnacentral:lncRNA from 1 species
AAACUGUUUGCCUUUUGUGGAACAGCUAGCAAAAAAAGUGAUUUACCUUGAUGCUUUGCUAAGAGUAAAAAGGGUUUCAGCCAGCUUUACUGUCCUUCCUUGUUAAUGUAAAAAAUUGAUAAGUAUUCACUGUGGUUGCUAGGUGAUGGGUAUAAGUUGAACCUGUGGGUUCCAGACUUAGAAUGCACUUUGAACAAUGCAUAGCCUUGUCUUGCAGCUGGGAAAGGUUGCCUAGGUGACUAGAUAGAUAACACAGCUGGCUCACAGGCCUCUUCGUGGGUAACACUCCUCCAAGCCAUUUGUUUGCUUCUGUCAGUAUGGAGAAGUGAUCUCUUCUGCAGACAAUGGGGAGCUCAAAAUCAAAACCACUUACUGCUUUGGAACAUAUUCUUUAACACUGGCAACAUUUGUACCCUGACAUAUUGAGGAAAAGCAGCUUGGUAUUCUUCUGUAACCACAAAUAGUCUGCCUACCCUCCACAGCCAAAAUGGAAUACGGAGAGAAGUAUCGAUUAUGACGCUGUUUCACAACUAGAAUCAUUCUGUAA